GCCAGCAGCUAUAUCACCCUGCAACAUACAGUACAACUGGCAACCCACUGAAAGUCAGCAGGUAUGAGUCUGGCCUGUACCUGGAUGGGAGACCUCAUGGGAAAGCUAAGGUUGCUUCUGAAA
rnacentral:rRNA from 1 species